rnacentral:rRNA from 1 species
GACGAACGCUGGCGGCGCGCUUAAUACAUGCAAGUCGAGCGAGAACCAGAGCUUCGGCUCUGGGGAAAGCGGCGAACGGGUGAGUAUCACGUGAGUAAUCUGCCCUCGGCACCGGGAUAGCCCGGGGAAACCCGGAUUAAUACCGGAUGGCCUCUCGAGCCCUCGGGCUCGUGAGAAAAGGUAGCUUCGGCCUCCGGCCGAGGAGGAGCUCGCGGCGGAUUAGCUUGUUGGUGGGGUAACGGCUCACCAAGGCGACGAUCCGUAGCUGGGCUGAGAGGACGAUCAGCCACACUGGGACUGAGACACGGGCCAGACUCCUACGGGAGGCGGGAGUGGUGCAUCUUGCGCAAUGGGCGAAAGCCUGACGCAGGGACGCCGCGUGCGGGAAGAAGGCCUUCGGGUUGUAAACCGCUUGCAGGAGGGACGAAGCCACUCGGGUUAAUAGCCCAGAGGGUGACGGUACCUCCAGAGGAAGCCCCGGCUAACUACGUGCCAGCCGCCGCCGUAACAC